GAUGAACGCUGGCGGCGUGCCUAAUACAUGCAAGUCGAGCGAACAGACGAGGAGCUUGCUCCUCUGACGUUAGCGGCGGACGGGUGAGUAACACGUGGAUAACCUACCUAUAAGACUGGGAUAACUUCGGGAAACCGGAGCUAAUACCGGAUAAUAUAUUGAACCGCAUGGUUCAAUAGUGAAAGACGGUUUUGCUGUCACUUAUAGAUGGAUCCGCGCCGCAUUAGCUAGUUGGUAAGGUAACGGCUUACCAAGGCAACGAUGCGUAGCCGACCUGAGAGGGUGAUCGGCCACACUGGAACUGAGACACGGUCCAGACUCCUACGGGAGGCAGCAGUAGGGAAUCUUCCGCAAUGGGCGAAAGCUUGACGGAGCAACGCCGCGUGAGUGAUGAAGGUCUUCGGAUCGUAAAACUCUGUUAUUAGGGAAGAACAAAUGUGUAAGUAACUAUGCACGUCUUGACGGUACCUAAUCAGAAAGCCACGGCUAAAUACGUG
rnacentral:rRNA from 1 species